rnacentral:lncRNA from 1 species
UGGUCUGGUGGUUGGUUGUGUGUUAGUUUUCCUUGGGGUUCUGGGUUCAAGUCCUCAUACGUGUGAUUUGAGGAAAUAAUUUUAGUUUUUUGUUUUGUUUUUAGGUUUAAAAUACUUAUUUUAUUUAUUUUUAUUUUUAUAUGGAGAAGCCAAAAAAAAUCUUUACACAAUCUCAUGAUACCAACUGAUGCGGAAUCUCGGAUCUAGACACAAGAGAAACACAAAUUAGAAAUAAAACGAGAAUAAAUAAAAUUAGUUAAAUAAUAAUAAUAAAAGAAAAAAAAGGAUAGA